AUUGAACGCUGGCGGCAGGCCUAACACAUGCAAGUCGAACGGUAACAGGAAGCAGCUUGCUGCUUCGCUGACGAGUGGCGGACGGGUGAGUAAUGUCUGGGAAGCUGCCUGAUGGAGGGGGAUAACUACUGGAAACGGUAGCUAAUACCGCAUAAUGUCGCAAGACCAAAGAGGGGGACCUUCGGGCCUCUUGCCAUCGGAUGUGCCCAGAUGGGAUUAGCUUGUUGGUGGGGUAACGGCUCACCAAGGCGACGAUCCCUAGCUGGUCUGAGAGGAUGACCAGCCACACUGGAACUGAGACACGGUCCAGACUCCUACGGGAGGCAGCAGUAGGGAAUCUUCCGCAAUGGGCGAAAGCCUGACGGAGCAACGCCGCGUGAGUGAUGAAGGUCUUCGGAUCGUAAAACUCUGUUAUUAGGGAAGAACAAAUGUGUAAGUAACUAUGCACGUCUUGACGGUACCUAAUCAGAAAGCCACGGCUAACUACGUG
rnacentral:rRNA from 1 species